UUUUUUUUUUUCAGUGAAAAGAAUCUGACUAGAACUGUACCAGUCAAAGAAGAAUCUGAAUGGGGAGACUUGAAUGGUGGUCAAAAUCUAAGUGGACUUAAACAGAGCCCAAAUACCAACCAGAUUCACCACAAGAAACGAGACGAAGCUUUCAGCUGCUACUACAGUGCAUCUCACUAUUCUACCGACGACCAAGAUAGCUCUAGCCAAUUUGCACUUGAAAGUGACAGUGGAGCAGACAUAUCCGUAACAAGCCGAGAUCUUGAGUGGGAACGCUAUUGGGCACAAAAUGGUGACCGCAUUGUUUGGGAAAGUUGGAUAACCAAGUACAAUGAUUACAUCGAUCCAACUUACCUAAAUAAUCACGGGAAUCAGCAUCAGGCUCUUGACAAGGAUGCUGUGAAAAACGAAGAAAGUGAUAAUUUUGAUUCUGUGUCCUCUGACAGUGAUGAAGUAGAAGCUGACAAUAUAUCACCAGUUGAAUCCACUGAUGUGAAUAAGUUAGAAUUGAAUCAUCCAAAGAAAGACGUAUCAACUGAAGAAGAGAAGAGACCUAAAGAAUUGACUUUUGCAGAACCUCCCAUUCUAUCAGUUGGAGACUUUGAUGGACAAAUUUCGUCAGAACCUUUAGAUCAUUCAAAAGAACAGGACGACUUCUUUGAUGAGCAAUUUAGACUAAGAACUGGAAGCCGCAGUUCUGGGAAUAGCGGUCGACUAACUGCAACCACUGAUUCAAUGACCAAUGUUACCAGAAUUACAUUGUCGACUUCAAAUUCCAGUUCUGAAGACCUAUCAAGAAUCGAUUCGUCUCUCUCACCCUCUUCGUCUGUGACUUCCUACACUGAGCAGUGGCAGCACUUGUGGAAUGAACACUUCAAUGACCUGUACAACUCUCAUUAUAAUGCAUUUAUCUCGCAGUACAAAGAAAGUGACCCAUUGCCUUCGUGGGAACCAGUCGCUGAUAUCAUUAAUGAUGUUUUAGGAGAUCCCGACUUUGAAAGUAGCGUCGAAAGGGUAAACACCUCUGUUCCUAAGCAACCUGACGAAGAUUUCCUCUCUGCAAAAAUUAAUCAGGUAGAAAUUUCCAAAAAGGAGAAACCAUCCUCUGACUUUCUGGUCAAAAGUAAACUUGCAAACGGCUGUAUUGAAGAGGAAAGACUCAAUUGCAUGGUAGAUGUGAAUGAGGAUUCCCAAGAAUCAAGCUCAUCCAAAAAGAAUAGCAAAGGGAAGAGAAAAGGGACCAAGAAUAGCAGGCAAUUUGAGUAUGUGUAA
rnacentral:lncRNA from 1 species